rnacentral:rRNA from 1 species
AUCGAUGAAGAACGCAGCGAAAUGCGAUAAGUAAUGUGAAUUGCAGAAUUCAGUGAAUCAUCGAAUCUUUGAACGCACAUUGCGCCCCUUGGUAUUCCGAGGGGCAUGCCUGUUCGAGCGUCAUUAUAACCACUCAAGCCUCGGCUUGGUCUUGGGGUUCGCGGUCUCGCGGCUCUUAAAAUCAGUGGCAGUGCCGUCUGGCUCUAAGCGUAGUAAUUCUCUCGCUAUAGAGUUCUGGUGGUUACUUGCCAAAACCCCUAAUUUUUUAACGGUUGACCUCGGAUCAGGUAGGGAUACCCGCUGAACUUAAGCAUAUCAAUAAGCGGAGGAAAAGAAACCAACAGGGAUUGCCUCAGUAACGGCGAGUGAAGCGGCAACAGCUCAAAUUUGAAAUCUGGCUCUUUCAGGGUCCGAGUUGUAAUUUGUAGAAGAUGCUUUGAGUGUGGCUCCGGUCUAAGUUCCUUGGAACAGGACGUCAUAGAGGGUGAGAAUCCCGUAUGUGACUGGGUGCUUUCGCUCGUGUAAAGCUCUUUCAACGAGUCGAGUUGUUUGGGAAUGCAGCUCAAAAUGGGUGGUAAAUUUCAUCUAAAGCUAAAUAUUGGCCAGAGACCGAUAGCGCACAAGUAGAGUGAUCGAAAGAUGAAAAGCACUUUGGAAAGAGAGUUAAACAGUACGUGAAAUUGUUGAAAGGGAAGCGCUUGCAACCAGACUUGCAUGCUGUUGAUCAUCCGAGCUUCUGCCCGGUGCACUCGAUAGUAUUCAGGCCAGCAUCGGUUUUGGUGGGCGGAUAAAGGCCUUGGGAAUGUAGCUUCUUUCGGGGAGUGUUAUAGCCCUCGGUGCAAUGCGCCCUACCGGGACCGAGGACCGCGCUUCGGCUAGGAUGCUGGCGUAAUGGUUGUAAGCGACCCGUCUUGAAACACGG